UACGUAGGUGGCAAGCGUUAUCCGGAAUUACUGGGUGUAAAGGGCGCGCAGGCGGCCCUGCAAGUCGGAUGUGAAAGAUCAAGGCUCAACCUUGACAGGCCAUUCGAAACUGUGGGACUUGAGUGUCAGAGGGGAAAGUGGAAUUCCUAGUGGAGCGGUAAAAUGCGCAGAUAUUAGGAGGAACACCAGUGGCGAAGGCGACUUACUGGACUGUAACUGACGCUGAGUCACGAAAGCGUGGGUAGCAAACAGGAUUAGAUACCCCGGUA
rnacentral:rRNA from 1 species